CUCACUACAGCUGCAACAUCAGCGCGCCAGCGCAAUCAAGCAUCUGGGACCGAGUCUAGGGGUGUGCACACUCUGGGAUGGAGUAACUGUUGUCUAGCUAUGUUCCCUGGUCACCAGCCAGGAAAUCUGCAGCUCUCCCGGCAUUCUUCCUGCCCCACGGCUGUUCCUGAACAAGCUGUCUGCCCGCCCAGGGGACACAGUCCUGCUGUCAUGUCUAGUCCCAUUGGACACCCCCAUGACCCGCAUUGUCUUCUGCAAAGACGGGAAGGAGAUUUCUGUGCAGCCCAAGGAAGGAAACAAACGUGUCUAUGACUCACCCUACACAGUGUCCAGGGAGAGCGCAGGGGCCUUUUCCUGCCUCUACCAGCUCAAGGACGACAGCAACCAGGCAAACAAUUCGCUCCCGAGUGAUGC